ACGAACGCUGGCGGCGUGCUUAACACCUGCAAGUCGCACGGAAAGGCCCUGCUUUUGUGGGGUGCUCGAGUGGCGAACGGGUGAGUAACACGUGAGUAACCUGCCCUUGACUUUGGGAUAACUUCAGGAAACUGGGGCUAAUACCGGAUAGGAGCUCCUGCUGCAUGGUGGGGGUUGGAAAGUUUCGGCGGUUGGGGAUGGACUCGCGGCUUAUCAGCUUGUUGGUGGGGUAGUGGCUUACCAAGGCUUUGACGGGUAGCCGGCCUGAGAGGGUGACCGGCCACAUUGGGACUGAGAUACGGCCCAGACUCCUACGGGAGGCAGCAGUGGGGAAUACUGCACAAUGGGCGGAAGCCUGAUGCAGCAACGCCGCGUGCGGGAUGACGGCCUUCGGGUUGUAAACCGCUUUCGCCUGUGACGAAGCGUGAGUGACGGUAAUGGGUAAAGAAGCACCGGCUAACUACGUG
rnacentral:rRNA from 1 species